rnacentral:rRNA from 1 species
UACGGAGGGGGCUAGCGUUGUUCGGAAUUACUGGGCGUAAAGCGCACGUAGGCGGCUUUGUAAGUUAGAGGUGAAAGCCCAGGGCUUAACCCUGGAAUUGCCUUUAAGACUGCAUCGCUAGAAUCGUGGAGAGGUGAGUGGAAUUCCCAGUGUAGAGGUGAAAUUCGAUAGAUACUCGAGAAAGAACGACCAGUGGCGAAGGCGGUUGCCUGGGGCU